GGAGAGCUGGCCGAGUCGGUCGAAGGCGCUCGCCUGCUAAGCGAGUAAGGGGGCAACACUCCCUUCGAGGGUUCGAAUCCCUCGCUCUCCGCCA
rnacentral:tRNA from 1 species